rnacentral:rRNA from 1 species
GACGAACGCUGGCGGCGUGCUUAACACAUGCAAGUCGAACGGAAAGGCCCUGCUUUUGUGGGGUGCUCGAGUGGCGAACGGGUGAGUAACACGUGAGUAACCUGCCCUUGACUUUGGGAUAACUUCAGGAAACUGGGGCUAAUACCGGAUAGGAGCUCCUGCUGCAUGGUGGGGGUUGGAAAGUUUCGGCGGUUGGGGAUGGACUCGCGGCUUAUCAGCUUGUUGGUGGGGUAGUGGCUUACCAAGGCUUUGACGGGUAGCCGGCCUGAGAGGGUGACCGGCGACAUUGGGACUGCGAGAGGCCCCAGAGGCCUACGGGAGGCAGCAGGGGGGAAUAUGGCACAACGGGCGGGAGCCUGAUGCAGAAGCGCCGCGGGCGGGAAGACGGCCUGCGGGUAGUAAACCGCUUUCGCUUGAGACGAAGCGGGAGUGACGGUAAUGGGUAAAGAAGCACCGGCUAACUACGUG